AGUGAACACGUAAUUCAUUACGAAGUUUAAUUCUUUGAGCAUCAAACUUAAAUUGAAGAGUUUGAUCAUGGCUCAGAUUGAACGCUGCUGGGAAACUGCCUGAUGGAGGGGGAUAACUACUGGAAACGGUAGCUAAUACCGCAUAACGUCGCAAGACCAAAGAGGGGGACCUUCGGGCCUCUUGCCAUCGGAUGUGCCCAGAUGGGAUUAGCUAGUAGGUGGGGUAACGGCUCACCUAGGCGACGAUCCCUAGCUGGUCUGAGAGGAUGACCAGCCACACUGGAACUGAACUGGAACUGAGACACGGUCCAGACUCCUACGGGAGGCAGCAGUGGGGAAUAUUGCACAAUGGGCGCAAGCCUGAUGCAGCCAUGCCGCGUGUGUGAAGAAGGCCUUCGGGUUGUAAAGCACUUUCAGCGGGGAGGAAGGCGGUGAGGUUAAUAACCUCACCGAUUGACGUUACCCGCAGAAGAAGCACCGGCUAACUCCGUGCCAGCAGCCGCGGUAAUACGGAGGGUGCAAGCGUUAAUCGGAAUUACUGGGCGUAAAGCGCACGCAGGCGGUCUGUCAAGUCGGAUGUGAAAUCCCCGGGCUCAACCUGGGAACUGCAUUCGAAACUGGCAGGCUAGAGUCUUGUAGAGGGGGGUAGAAUUCCAGGUGUAGCGGUGAAAUGCGUAGAGAUCUGGAGGAAUACCGGUGGCGAAGGCGGCCCCCUGGACAAAGACUGACGCUCAGGUGCGAAAGCGUGGGGAGCAAACAGGAUUAGAUACCCUGGUAGUCCACGCCGUAAACGAUGUCGAUUUGGAGGUUGUGCCCUUGAGGCGUGGCUUCCGGAGCUAACGCGUUAAAUCGACCGCCUGGGGAGUACGGCCGCAAGGUUAAAACUCAAAUGAAUUGACGGGGGCCCGCACAAGCGGUGGAGCAUGUGGUUUAAUUCGAUGCAACGCGAAGAACCUUACCUGGUCUUGACAUCCACAGAACUUUCCAGAGAUGGAUUGGUGCCUUCGGGAACUGUGAGACAGGUGCUGCAUGGCUGUCGUCAGCUCGUGUUGUGAAAUGUUGGGUUAAGUCCCGCAACGAGCGCAACCCUUAUCCUUUGUUGCCAGCGGUCCGGCCGGGAACUCAAAGGAGACUGCCAGUGAUAAACUGGAGGAAGGUGGGGAUGACGUCAAGUCAUCAUGGCCCUUACGACCAGGGCUACACACGUGCUACAAUGGCAUAUACAAAGAGAAGCGACCUCGCGAGAGCAAGCGGACCUCAUAAAGUAUGUCGUAGUCCGGAUUGGAGUCUGCAACUCGACUCCAUGAAGUCGGAAUCGCUAGUAAUCGUAGAUCAGAAUGCUACGGUGAAUACGUUCCCGGGCCUUGUACACACCGCCCGUCACACCAUGGGAGUGGGUUGCAAAAGAAGUAGGUAGCUUAACCUUCGGGAGGGCGCUUACCACUUUGUGAUUCAUGACUGGGGUGAAGUCGUAACAAGGUAACCGUAGGGGAACCUGCGGUUGGAUCACCUCCUUA
rnacentral:rRNA from 1 species